rnacentral:rRNA from 1 species
GUAAACCUGAAUGAAUGAUUUAAUAAAAUAUUAACUAUAUAAAAUUUAAUUAAUAUUCAAAUUUUAUUUUUAAGUAAAAAAUCUUAAAUAUAAUUAUUAGACGAUAAGACCCUAUAGAACUUUAUAUUAUAAUAAAAUUAAAUAAAAAUUUUAUUAUUUAAAUUAAUUUAUUUAAUAUUAUAUUGGGGGUAUAAAAAAAUUAAAAUAAUUUUUUUAUAAAAAUUAUCAUUAAUUAUUGAAAUUUUUAAAGAGUGUUUUUAUAAAAAUUAUUAAAACAAGUUACCUUAGGGAUAACAGCAUAAUUUUUUUAAAAAGAUCUUAUUGAUAAAAAAGAUUAUGACCUCGAUGUUGAAUUAAGAUAAAUAUUAAAAGAAGA